UCCAGAACAGACAAGGCAGGGGUCAGGUAGUUGUUGGCUUUGUCAGGCAAGUGAGCUACCAGCUCAUAUAGUUCUCUUCCUUGCUCCGCAACAUAUUCAUAGCAUACAUCAAAGCUUUUGUUUCUUGCUGUAGAAUCAUGCAACGCUUUUACACAGAUGUCAGCAACAUCAGCACAGCUUAUGGCCUGAGUUAUCCUGUUUCCCUGAUCAAAUAUGAGGGCACGUUGGCCACCAGGUUCUUCCUUGAGGGGACCGGGACGGAUAAUUGUGUACCCAAGGCCUGAUCGUCUCAAUGAAUCUUCCCCAGCCCUUUUUGCCUUGAGAACCUGCUCCCUUCUGGUUGGUUCUAUACCAGAUCCUGUACAUGAAACCAAGAUGACGUCUGUCUCUUGCCCAGUAGGCAAGGCUUUAAUGUACUCCAAUAUGAGCUUAAAGCUUCUCAAGUCUUGCUGCUUUACACCAGCUGCAGGUCCUUCAACGGGUCUCUGUCUCCUG
rnacentral:misc_RNA from 1 species